GUUCGUGAACUAGUGAUUGUGAAUUCCAAAUUUGAUGCCAACUUUAUGUGUAAAGAAGCUAACUCCUGCCAACAUCGUGGCUGAAUGAACAGCUGGGACUAUGCUUAACCCAUUCCCAGCUUAUAAAAGCCCCAUGGCAGCUGCAGUGAAGCAUCAGAAAAGUAUAGUAAGAAGAAACUGAAUUUGAAGUGGAUUCUUACAAAGGAAAAAGAAAAUCACUAUUGUAACUAUACCAAAUUACUAUGGAUGCUGGAACUGUGGCUGCCAUCGGGGGACCACAGAAAGUACUGGCCUAAGAAGACCAGCUCAGCUGGGCGUGGUGGCCUGUAAUCCCAGCAUUUUGGGAGGAUGCGGGCAGAUCAUGUGAAGUCGGGAGUUCAAGACCAGCCUGACCAACAUGGAGAAGCCCUGUCUCUACUAAAAAUACAAAAUUAGCCGGGUGUGGUGGCGCAUGCCUGUAAUUCUAGCUACUGGGGAGGCUGAGGCAGGAGAAUUGCCUGAAUCCGAGAGGUGGAGGUUACAGUGAGCGGAGAGGGCGCCACUGCACUCCCGUCUGGGCCAAUGAGAGUGAAACUCCAUCUCAAAAAAAAAAAAAGAUGAGCUCACACUGGGGAUGACGGGUGGAAGAAAGGCCAGCUGUAAUGAACUUGCUGGUUUUGGUAAAUUCAUUGCCUUACCCUUGGACCUGGUAUUGUUUGAGAAAAUAAAUUAUUUUGCCAUCUUAGUCA
ensembl:lncRNA DLGAP1-AS2 DLGAP1 antisense RNA 2